CUUCACCGAGCCCAGCAGCAGCGGCCGUUCACGGUCCUGACCGUACGUCGCCAGCAGCGCCUGCGCCUC
rnacentral:antisense_RNA from 1 species